AGGCUUUUCCAGAUUGGUCUAAUACUUGCAAUUCCUGUACAAAACCAAUGCAAUCAUGAUUGUCCGUUAUUCUGUCCAUAAAGGACCCAACAACAUGUCAGCUGUACGAUCUCUAUUAAUGGUUGACAACAUAAGGUCAGAAUUGUUGCUGGUUCCCCUUUUAAUGGAAUAAAACCUGAAGGAUGGUUCCCUUUUAUUUGGUAAGGUUUAUAUACCCCAUACCCAGAAAUUCAAACUUCCUUCAUCUGUAGAGGCACAAGGGGGCAAUGUCAACCCAUAAAAUGGACAGUACUGUGCGUAAAAAAACUUUAAAUGUUUAGCAAACACCCACUUUGCUCUGGAGCUGGUUAUGGAGUGACUACAGACACGGACAACGACGCCAGCGUAGAAUGGAGGUGUCUGACCCAAAUCUCUAAAUCAAAUCCUUAGAGAUCAAUUUUGAUGUUCUGAUUUGGUGAGAUAACCCUCCAUUCUCAGUAUCAUAUUUACUGAGCCUUGUGAUAAUGAACAAUGGACAUCACUAAUUGACUGCUUUCAGUCCUUUCUCCGGCAGGACACCGGGGAGAUAUAGCCUAGAAAGAAAAGUCUAG